rnacentral:sRNA from 1 species
GCUGUUGCUGCUGUUGUAGCUGCUGCUGUUGCUGUGGUUAUGGCUGUUACUAUUGUUACUGCUGCUGUUGCUGUUGCUGUAGCUACUACUGCAGCUGCUGC